rnacentral:rRNA from 1 species
CCUACGGGAGGCAGCAGUGGGGAAUAUUGGACAAUGGGGGGAACCCUGAUCCAGCCAUGCCGCGUGUGUGAAGAAGGCCCUCGGGUUGUAAAGCACUUUCAGUGAGGAAGAACGCCUGGUGGUUAAUACCCAUCAGGAAAGACAUCACUCACAGAAGAAGCACCGGCUAACUCCGUGCCAGCAGCCGCGGUAAUACGGAGGGUGCGAGCGUUAAUCGGAAUUACUGGGCGUAAAGCGCGCGUAGGUGGCUUGAUAAGCCGGUUGUGAAAGCCCCGGGCUCAACCUGGGAACGGCAUCCGGAGCUGUCAAGCUAGAGUGCAGGAGAGGAAGGUAGAAUUCCCGGUGUAGCGGUGCAAUGCGUAGAGAGCGGGAGGAAUACCAGUGGCGAAGGCGGCCUUCUGGACUGACACUGACACUGAGGUGCGAAAGCGUGGGUAGCAAACAGGAUUAGAUACCCCGGUAGUC